rnacentral:rRNA from 1 species
ACGGAUUCGGUGCCUUCGGGAACUCAGACACAGGUGCUGCAUGGCUGUCGUCAGCUCGUGUCGUGAGAUGUUCGGGUUAAGUCCCGUAACGAGCGCAACCCUUGUCCUUAGUUACCAGCACGUUAUGGUGGGCACUCUAAGGAGACUGCCGGUGGACAAACCGGAGGAAGGUGGGGAUGACGUCAAGUCAUCAUGGCCUUACGGCCAGGGCUACACACGUGCUACAAUGGUCGGUACAAAGGGUUGCCAAGCCGCGAGGUGGAGCUAAUCCCAUAAAACCGAUCGUAGUCCGGAUCGCAGUCUGCAACUCGACUGCGUGAAGUCGGAAUCGCUAGUAAUCGUGAAUCAGAAUGUCACGGUGAAUACGUUCCCGGGCCUU